AUUGAACGCUGGCGGCAGGCCUAACACAUGCAAGUCGAGCGAGCGGCGGACGGGUGAGUAAUGUCUGGGAAACUGCCUGAUGGCGGGGGAUAACUACUGGAAACGGUAGCUAAUACCGCAUAACAUCAGAUGUGCCCAGAUGGGAUUAGCUAGUAGGUGGGGUAAUGGCUCACCUAGGCGACGAUCCCUAGCUGGUCUGAGAGGAUGACAAGCAACACUGGAACUGAGACACGGUCCAGACUCCUACGGGAGGCAGCAGUGGGGAAUAUUGAACAAUGGGCGAAAGCCUGAGACAGCCAUGCCGCGGGUGUGAAGAAGGCCUUCGGGUUGUAAAGCACUUUCAGCGGGGAGGCGUUACCCGCAGAAGAAGCAACGGCUAACUCCGUGCCAGCAGCCGCGGUAAUUC
rnacentral:rRNA from 1 species